rnacentral:rRNA from 1 species
UACGUAGGUCCCGAGCGUUGUCCGGGUUUAUUGGGCGUAAAGCGAGCGCAGGCGGUUGGAUAAGUCUGAAGUUAAAGGCUGUGGCUCAACCAUAGUAUGCUUUGGAAACUGUUCAACUUGAGUGCAGAAGGGGAGAGUGGAAUUCCAUGUGUAGCGGUGGAAUGCGUAGAUAUAUGGAGGAACACCGGUGGCGAAAGCGGCUCUCUGGUCUGUAACUGACGCUGAGGCUCGAAAGCGUGGGUAGCGAACAGG